UACGUAGGGGGCAAGCGUUGUCCGGAUUUAUUGGGCGUAAAGAGCGUGUAGGCGGCCAGGUAGGUCCGUUGUGAAAACUCGAGGCUCAACCUCGAGACGUCGGCGGAAACCCUCUGGCUAGAGUCCGGAAGAGGAGAGUGGAAUUCCUGGUGUAGCGGUGAAAUGCGCAGAUAUCAGGAAGAACACCCGUGGCGAAGGCGGCUCUCUGGGACGUGACUGACGCUGAGACGCGAAAGCGUGGGGAGCGAACAGG
rnacentral:rRNA from 1 species